CUUCUCUCAGAAACCUGUUGGGGAUCCGCAGGUUUGGGCAGGAAGGGGAGAAGAUGCGUCGAGCCUGAAGCCACCGAGCUCGCUUCUUGGAACCUGCAAGUCGGUUGCCAAACAACACAACAGUAUUUGUGGCUCUGGAGCUGCAGGAGUCUUUACCCUCAACCGAGCUAUAUUUAGAGGCAGAUGGCCGCUGUCCUCAGUCCUUCAGCCUGCUUCUGCUGGAGGUGGCUUCCUGCUAAAAGUGAGUUUUCCCUCUGAACCGUCAUCACUCUGCUUGCUCAUGCAGAAUUUUGUGGGGUUACCGAAAGGUUUGGUAGAAGGCACCUGGACUGGACUAAACCUUUUUGGUUCUUUUUCAUCUCUAAUGCAACAGAUUUAGAUUACUAGCAGGAGUCUCAGAUGCAUGUUAUCAUCCACACAGCCAUGGCCAAUGUGGCUGAAGGCCUCAUCAAGACCCACAUCCUCAAGGUGUGAAUGGUUGUGACAUCACCAGGAUUUUUAACAAAGGCUGAGAAACUGAGACCACUCAAGAUGUUAAAGCUGGUGAAACGUUCUGCGGAGACAUCUCAAGACCGCAUUAUAAGUAAACGAUCAGUCUGUUUUGAGAUGGUAGUUUACCCUAAAUGUCUUUCUUAAACCCUCCCUUAUCUGUCUUAUCUGUCCAGAAUCGUUCUCAAAACAUGCAGAUGGACUGUUGAGCCUUGUCUGGACUAGCUGAACGUUCGGUGAGGUCUGUGUUGUUCAUUGUCUUCCACUUCCUUGGUUCUGACACUACUGGUCGGAUCAACUGCCCAUUUGCACGUGUGCGGCGGCUCUACCUGGACAAACUGCCUGAACAGGAAAGCUUCACAGAUCUUGAGACAUUCUGUGCUGCAGAAGCAUUAACUGAGUUAAAAUCAUUAAUCAGACUAAUCAUGAUGAUGGAUUAAACAUUAACACAUUUA